UGGGGAAUUUUGGACAAUGGGGGCAACCCUGAUCCAGCCAUUCCGCGUGAGUGAAGAAGGCCUUCGGGUUGUAAAGCUCUUUCAGCAGGAACGAAACGGUCGGCUUUAAUAAAGUCGGCUAAUGACGGUACCUGCAGAAGAAGCACCGGCUAACUACGUGCCAGCAGCCGCGGUAAUACGUAGGGUGCGAGCGUUAAUCGGAAUUACUGGGCGUAAAGCGUGCGCAGGCGGCGACAUAAGACAGAUGUGAAAUCCCCGGGCUCAACCUGGGAACUGCGUUUGUGACUGUGUUGCUAGAGUGUAGCAGAGGGGGGUGGAAUUCCACGUGUAGCAGUGAAAUGCGUAGAGAUGUGGAGGAACACCGAUGGCGAAGGCAGCCCCCUGGGUUAACACUGACGCUCAUGCACGAAAGCGUGGGGAGCAAACAGGAUUAGAUACCCACGUAGUCCCUGAGCGGGCUGGCAAGGCGCAU
rnacentral:rRNA from 1 species